GUGCUGACUUUGGCAGCACAUAUACUAAAAUUGGGAUGAUACAGAGAAGAUUAGCAUGGCUCUUGCACAAGGAUGACACACAAAUUGUGAAGUGUUCUGUAUUUUU
ensembl:snRNA U6 U6 spliceosomal RNA